rnacentral:lncRNA from 1 species
GGGACUCGAGGAUCGAGGCGGGAAGCAGGGCUGGAAAAGGGGGUUCGGGCAGCGACCCCGGGUCAGCAUUGGAGCUGGGAUCGCAGGGGCCGGAAGCCUGUAGUCCACGUCCAUUUCACUUCUGAGCAGUGGAGUUGACAGCUGACCUCCCGCCCGACGUCCUGACAGCCCCGGAAGCCGAGAAAUCGAAGGGAUCGUGUCCACCAUGGGCUCCUCCCUCUGCGAGAGACCCACAUGAGGUGCCAAGUGUUGGCAGCUUCCCGCCACACCUCUUAACUGUCUUCUCCCGCCGCACUCGAGCUGCUUCCCGCGACCGGCAAGCCAUGACCAGCCGCUCCCUGGCGGAAGGGACAGGAACUGCAGUGCUUGGGUUCCUAGCCCCUGAAAGUUAGUGGGGAUCUGGAUCUCUGCCCGCAAUGGUAAAGCAUUUGGACCGUUCCCUGCAGAAAGGCGUGAAGCCUGCUUUGGGGCUUCGUCCUAGAUACAUCUCCAGGCCACUUACCUAGGCUGAAUCUGAUUGAAGGCUGGAAAGGGAAGUGUACACUCUGCUAUAUAGCCAACCUUGAACUUCUGAUCCCCCUGCCUCCACCUUGUGAGUGCCAGGGUUAUAACCGCAGGCACUCACUCAACUGAGCUACAUCCCUAACUUCUGGGAUUUAGGUUAAAAUGGAAGGUUUGACAUGCUAGACCUCAGUUUACUCCGAGCUGAUCUAUAUAUUUAAUGAACAUUUAGAGGAGUCUCAGGAAGAAUUGCACAUAUAAACCAAAAAAAAAAAAAAAAAGUUUUUUUUGGGGGGGGGGGGGGGGGUUAGGGGUUAACGAUGUAGCUCAGGCUAGCCUAGAACUCAUGCUCCUGCCUUGGCCUCCCCAGCGCUAAUGUUUUAGGUGUGCACGACUGCACCAUUUUAAUAAACUUAUCCUAAAACUUACAGCAAAUAAAUAGACUGAAUAAAAUGAUUUUGUAACGUU